rnacentral:rRNA from 1 species
AUGGAUACGGGCGCUACGGACCAUUUGACGAGUCAGCUUGACAAGCUGGCCACUCGCCAGCCCUACACCGGUCACGAUCAGGUUCACACGGCCAAUGGAUCAGGUAUGCCCAUCUCACAUGUUGGUCAGGCAUCUCUUCUUUCACGUACCACUAAAACCUUGCAUCUACUUGAUGUCCUUCGUGUUCCCUCAGUCACACGUAGUUUACUCUCGGUUCCUAAAUUAACUCGUGACAACAAUGUGUUUGUUGAGUUUCACCCUUUCCAUUUUUUUGUUAAGGACCGGGACACGAGGGACGUUCUUCUUAGUGGUCGAGCUCGCGACGGCUUAUACGCACUUGAUGUGCCACGAGUCUCUCAAGUUUUCAGUGGUGUUCGGGUGUCGUCGUCACAGUGGCACUCUCGCCUUGGCCACCCCGCUACUCCCAUUGUGCGCCAUGUGCUUCAUCGCCAUCAUCUUCCUGUUGAAUCGAGUAAUAAGGAGUUUCUAGUGUGUGAUGCUUGUCAACAAGGCAAGAGUCAUCAGUUGCCUUUUUCUGUAUCAAGUCGUGUUGUCACGGCUCCUCUUGAGCUUGUGUUUUCAGACGUGUGGGGCUAUGCCCAAACUUCUGUUAGUGGUCACAACUAUUAUGUCAGUUUCAUCGAUGCUUUCAGUCGCUUUACUUGGAUUUAUCUUAUUAAGCGCAAAUCUGAUGUGUUUCAUGUCUUUAUGCAAUUUCAAGCACAUGUUGAACGAUUGCUUAAGCACAAAAUUAUCCAUGUUCAGUCAGACUGGGGGGGGGGUGAGUAUCGUAACCUUAACACCUUCUUUCAGAAGCUUGGCAUCUCACACCGUGAGUCUUGUCCUCAUACACAUCAGCAGAACGGUGCAGCUGAGCGCAAACACCGUCACAUAGUUGAAACUGGCCUGACACUUCUUGCACAUGCCUCUGUCCCGUUUCGGUUCUGGAGCGAUGCUUUUGUUACUGCCUGUUUUUUGAUAAACAGGAUUCCCACACGACGCCUUCACAUGAAGUCUCCACUCGAAGUGUUGCUUAAUGAAACUCCAGAUUACUCCCUCCUCAAAGUGUUCGGCUGUGCGUGUUGGCCGCAUCUUCGUCCGUACAAUAAGCAUAAACUUGAGUAUCGAUCUAAACAAUGUGUGUUUCUUGGGUACAGUCCUCUCCACAAAGGUUACAAGUGUCUUCACAUCCCGUCAAAUCGUGUUUACAUCUCUCGUGAUGUUGUGUUCGAUGAGACUGUCUUCCCGUUUUCCACGCUCACAUCACCCACCGAUACUCCCGUCACUGAGUUGCACUCUUUUCCAGUUUUGCCUGAUCAAUUUGUGGAUGCUGCAUAUUCUCCUCUGUUGUUGCCUAACCAUGGUGCAGGGACUGGACGAGGCGCUCGACUUGAGCUUCUGGAUGAUGAUAUGGCCACAACUGCGCCAGUUGCUGCCACGCCGGACGAGGCGCUCGACGAGGCUGCCCCCACCACUACCCCGCUUGACCCCGACGUCGAUCACGCGUGCAUGCCCCAUGCACGAGGAUCCGACAGGGUGACCAAGUCGCCGGGGCCAGCGGCCUCGCUGUCGCCUGGGCCGGCCGAACCUGCGGAGCUGUCGGCCGGGCCGGCUGGACCCGCGGCGCUCUCCCCUGAGCCGAAGGCCUCGCAGGUCAUCAAGUCUUCGUCGCCUGGUCCGUCGACGCCAAUCACGCCCGGUCUGUCUUCGCCGACCCUGACCGUGCCACCGGAUGCGCCUGUUGACUCGCCCGCCGGUGCGUCCUCCUCGCCGAUGAUGGAUAGUGGCUCCUCUGGUAUGGCAGCUCCAGCGCCACCUCCGCCUGUCGUCCUGCGUCCCCAUACUCGCAGCAAAAGUGGCAUCUUCCAACCGAAGAAGCGCACUGACGGCACUGUCGCGUGGCUUGCGGCCUGUGUGGCACAUGCUGAGGCUGACCCUACGACUGAACCACGACAUUUUCGAGCGGCGCUUGGCAUCCCGCAUUGGCGUGCUGCGAUGGAGCAGGAGAUUCAUGCCCUUCAAAGAAACAACACUUGGCGUCUUGUUCCACCUCCAUCUGGUGUUAAUAUCAUUGACUCUAAAUGGGUAUUCAAGGUGAAGAAACAUGCUGAUGGCUCCGUUGAGAGGUACAAGGCACGCCUGGUUACCAAGGGGUUCAAACAACGGUAUGGCAUUGAUUAUGAAGACACAUUCAGUCCUGUUAUUAAACCAACUACGAUUCGUGUUCUUCUCUCUUUGGCUGUUACUCGCGGAUGGUCGCUUCGACAGCUUGAUGUUCAGAAUGCCUUUCUCCAUGGAGUUCUGGAAGAAGAGGUUUAUAUGCGUCAGCCGCCAGGUUUUGUUGACCCUGCUCAGCCACAUCAUUUAUGUCGUCUUGUCAAAGCUCUUUACGGUUUGAAGCAGGCCCCGCGUGCAUGGCAUGCCCGUCUUGGCGCUGCUCUUCGUGCGCAUGGGUUUGUUCCUUCUACAGCAGACACGUCUCUGUUUAUUCUACAGCGACCUGAGGUGACUAUGUACAUUCUGGUAUAUGUUGAUGACAUCAUCCUUGUCAGUUCGUCUGCUUCUGCUACAGACCGGCUUGUGUCCUCUCUUGGUGCUGAGUUUGCUGUUAAGGAUCUUGGGAGACUGCAUUAUUUUCUGGGCCUAGAGGUUCUUCAUUCUGAAGGGGGCUUGACUCUUACUCAGAAGAAGUACUCUCAGGAUCUCCUGCGUCAUGCCGGUAUGUUGCAGUGCAAGUCUGCUACGACUCCCAUGUCUGCUACACACAAACUGACAGCUCUUGCUGGUGACUUGCUUGCUCCUGAGGAUGCCACAGAGUACCGCAACAUUGUGGGUGGACUGCAGUACUUGCUCAUUACUCGACCAGACAUAUCAUUUGCAGUUAACCGUGUGUGCCAGUACCUUCAUGCACCCCGUGAUUCUCACUGGUCGGCUGUUAAGCGCAUCUUGCGCUAUGUUCGUCACACUGGUUCAUAUGGUCUCCAUCUUCAGCCUGCGCGUUCUGGACUGAUCUCAGCAUUCUCUGAUGCCGACUGGGCUGGUUGUCCUGAUGAUCGGCGAUCCACGGGGGGACAUGCUGUGUUCUUUGGGCCUAACUUGAUCGCCUGGCAAGCUCGCAAGCAAGCUACGGUGUCUCGGAGUAGUACCGAAGCUGAGUACAAAGCUGUUGCUAAUGCCACAGCUGAGAUCAUGUGGGUGCAGUCAUUGCUUCGAGAGUUGAAGGUCUCCUCAACUCAGCCGCCUGUUCUUUGGUGUGAUAACAUCGGUGCAACAUACCUUCCAUCCAAUCCAGUAUUUCAUGCCCGAACGAAGCACAUCGAAGUUGACUAUCAUUUUGUGAGGGAACGUGUUGCUCAGAAGCUCCUUCAGAUUAAGUUUGUUUCUUCGAAGGAUCAGCUUGCUGAUAUUUUUACUAAACCCUUGCCCUUGCCUUCUUUUGAAGGAUGUCGUCGCAAUCUUAACCUUCUGAGUGUUUCAGGACAUAGUUAA